rnacentral:tRNA from 1 species
GAGCCGGUAGCUCAGUCCGGCAGAGCGUUUGGGUUUUAACCAGAUGGUCGGGGGUUCAAAUCCCUCUCGGCCUG